GUGCUCACUGUUUCAAAUAUAUGUAUUAAGUAAAAUGAAUUAAAAACACUCACAAUUUGUAGCUUAAAACCGAGUGUAUCAUGAGAAUGCUGUACUGAGAGGCUGUUAGUGGCUGUCACAGUCUUUCACUCCGGCCGGAGAAAGAUAGAUGUCUUCUGAUGAAGACAGAUGUCCUCUGAUGAAGUGAGUUUGACCUCACAAAACUAGUAAGGAUCUAUUCAGCAUCUGCCACCAAAAUUAUUGAGUUGUAGUGGAAUGCAAAAGGAGAGAGCAGUGGAACGCACGCAGCACUUUUUCACAUACUGACAUCUAUCUAUCUAUCUAUUACUGUAUAUACCAAAAAACUAAAUUUGCCAAAGAAG